rnacentral:rRNA from 1 species
UACGUAGGGUGCGAGCGUUAGUCGGAAUUACUGGGGUUAAAGGGUGCGUAGGUGGGUUGGUAAGUCAGUGGUGAAAUCUCCGAGCUUAACUUGGAAACUGCCAUUGAUACUAUCAGUCUUGAAUAUUGUGGAGGUUAGCGGAAUAUGUCAUGUAGCGGUGAAAUGCUUAGAUAUGACAUAGAACACCAAUUGCGAAUGCAGCUGGCUACACAUAUAUUGACACUGAGGCACGAAAGCGUGGGGAUCAAACAGG